UUUAGGUCUCUGAGUUUCUUGAUGUUAAUCAUUUUUUACGGUCCUGGCUGAAACCGUCGUUGUCGUCGCCAUCGAAGUUGAUCUCAAUCAAAUCAAAGUCAAGCUCUUCAACAGAUAAAGCUUCGACGAUGUUCAGCUUAAUGAUGUGCCUCUUGGAGAUUACAUCGGAGUUCAAUAGUCCAAGAAUGCUACAUAUGUGCCUCACACUGCAGCUUUUGGAGUGGUUUUAUUUGAACUCAUUACUGGAAGAAAACCAAUUUAAACCAAAAGAUUUCCAUGAGAAGAGAAUUUAGUAUUACGGCCAUAUUAUCUGAAGAGUGGCAACACAACUACAAGGCAGACUAGAGGUUCCCUUGCUUCCUCAACAAAAUCAUUGGCGUCCUAGAUCAUGGACUUGAUGUUUGGAUUCUAUAUCAAACUUUAUCAUCCUUCCUAUUUUAUUAUAAGCAAUAUUUUUACUCGGUUAUUCAUACUCUCUAAAGAGGUUCGGCGUAUUAUGUUUUUUUGGAUUUGAGUUGGAAUAUUUACUCAUUGGCAUCUUAGCAUUGUGAUCUUAUGAUCGGUUACUUAGUUUUGUGUUUGUUGGAUUUGAGUUGGAGUAUUUACUCAUUUAAUUGAA